CCAUGCAAGGACAACUAGGGCUGAGAAAGAAGGAGGGGCAACAGCUAUGAAGCUGUUGUACGCACAAGACAGUAGACACACACGACCGCAAGGAAAAGAAAAAAAAGAGGUGAAAAGAAAAGAAAAAGAGAGGAAGGAGGGCACCACACAGGGAAGACACUACCACAGAGAAGGAAUGACAGCGGUGCACAAACAACCAUAGCCUCACUCUCUCCACACACCACCACAGCCUCACCUUCUCCCUCUCCACGCUCACAUAGUGCACAACCCCUCUCCAACCCCUCUUCAAGCCCUCACGCACACACUCAACCACACAGCAGCCUCCCUCUCAGCCUCACACUAGUCCAGCACUCAUCCCCUCACGACCACCUUCCUCACCCGUUCUGAGCUAAGGCCCAACCCCUCUCCAACCUCCCUCACGGCCUCUUCUCCAAAGGGUGAGUUGGAAGAUGAGGUUGCUGUCUCAGGGAGGUCCUCUCAUCCUUAUUCGACAUGUUUUAUCAUGCAUGGCGACACAUACGCUAGCGGUUCUCUCAGUUCCUUUGGUGGUGAUCAGAAAUAUUAAUUUCAUUCUCUCUUCUUUUCUUUGGGGGAAGAGUAAUGGUAGGACAAAAAUGAAAUGGUGUGUUUGGUCAAAGGUUUGUAAACCCUUAGAUAAAGGGGGUGUUGGUGUAAGGGACCUUAAUGACGUUCAAAAAUCUUUUCACAUGAAGUUUUCUUGGAAAUUGAUGACUUUAGAUAAUCUUUGGACCCGUUUUUUUAAGGUUAAAUACGUUAAAUUAGGUCACAUGACUUCAAUCAAUUAUACUUCUACGGGCUCUUAAUUUUGGAAGAUAAUCUUAAAGGUCUUUCCAGAUGUAUAUGAGAAUGUUUAUGUGAAUGUUAGAGAAGGAAAAGUUUCUUUUUGGUUUGAUAAGUGGUUAAGCAGUGGUCCCCUCGCGGAGUGUUCUUACACAGUCCAGCAUCCUGAUCUUAAGAUUCAAUACAAUUGGGAGUAUGAAAAUUGGGAUACUGAUAUGCUGAAAGAAUUAGUAGGGGUCCCCAAAACGAAUGAGAUUUUGUUGUCGUUUAUAAAGCACAAAUUGGGAUCUAAUGUGUUUAUUUGGAAGCCUUCCAGAAAUGAAAAAUUUUCAACUUCCUUGGCUUGGGAGGUGAUAAGAAUUAAAGGGGAAUAGUACCCAUGGAUGGAGUGAGUCUGGCAUAAACUACUACCUAAGAAAGUAUCGAUGUGUAUGUGGAAAGCCAUGUUCCAAUGUCUUCCUGUUGAUGAGAGAGUGUGAAAACUGGGACUUGAUAUAGUCUUAUGUUACAACUGCUAUGAGGAUAAAAAAGAGGAAUCUCUCAACCAUGUUCUAAGUACAUGAUCCAUCGCAAGUAUGGUUUGGAAGAGAGCAACGUCUAUUUUGGGAAUUCAAAACUUUAAUGAUGAACCUUGGAGGGUGAAAAUCAAUAUAUGGUUCAGAUUUGACAAAAGAAUCAACCCAAAAAGGUAUGAUCAUCGGUUUACCUACUAUAAUUUCUUGGAGACUAUGGCUCAGACGGUGCAAAGCCCACAUGGAAGAUAAGUAUGAGUCGGGGAAUGCAGUUUGGUUAUCAAUGAGGUUUUGGCUCACAAAACCUCCUCUAAGUCCAUUCUCCCCUACAUUGCUCGUGCUCCAUCCAUCUCAUUCUCUUCAUUUUCAAUACUUUCCCUUACUAUUUUCUCAACCUUUUCUCCAUAUGUUGAUGCUUUGAGUUGGCAAGAAUUAUUAUAUUGCAAAAGAUGAGUUACUAUGAUUACCAAGCUCA